GGACGAACGCUGGCGGCGUGCUUAACACAUGCAAGUCGAGCGGUAAGGCCCUUUCGGGGGUACACGAGCGGCGAACGGGUGAGUAACACGUGGGUGACCUGCCCUCAGCUCUGGGAUAGGCCUGGGAAACCGGGUCUAAUACUGGAUAUGACUCCAUGACGCAUGUUGUGGGGUGGAAAGCCUUGUGCGGCUGAGGAUGGGUCCCGCGGCCUAUCAGCUUGUUGGUGGGGUGAUGGCCUACCAAGGCGACGACGGUAGCCGGCCUGAGAGGGCGACCGGCCACACUGGGACUGAGACACGGCCCAGACUCCUACGGGAGGCAGCAGUGGGGAACCUUGCGCAAUGGGCG
rnacentral:rRNA from 1 species